rnacentral:lncRNA from 1 species
GGGGACUCUAUUAAAAGGACCCAAGCACAGGAGCAGUGUUGUUGGAGGCAGGCCCCUGGCCAGGGUGGCCUCCGCCAUUAAAAGAUGGCGCCUGGCUAGUUGCCAGGUUAGGAUUGCCUCGUGAGACUAAGUGGAACGCCCAAAGAGGAAGUAAACAGCAUUGGUUGCUAGCGAAGUUGUUCGUUUAGGUGCACAGCCUGAUUCGCUCCCUCCUGUACCCUGCUCGCUGAUUGGUCAUGUAAGCGUAUAUAAGUGUGUAGACUUGCAGAAAUAAAGAGAGAGAAGAUGCAUCCGAACCAGGGCGUCUUGUCGUCCUUGCGGGGCGCGGGCGAUACAGUAUGACUUCAUUCAUGAGGAAUGAGAGCCAGGACUGGCACAGGGGCUCUGAAUCCCCUCAGACUUCACAGUGUCCCCAUCCUGCCUCUUGGUUUGCAUUGCCUUUCUUUGCAAACCAUCUCUCCUUGUUUCUCUGUUCUUCUUGCAGCAGAAAGCAGCUAUCCUAGAGGUCCCAAUUCUCUUUCUUCUCAGUUCAAGAGACCAGAAGAUAUUCACUGGUAUCUCUCAGAGGCCGAAGUUUCCAGGCUCACAAGCACCAUUUGUCAUCAGUGUUUUCAAGUUUUACCAACCUAAUGGAUGAAAGAUGGCUCUAAUGUGCAUUUCCCUAAUUACAAGUGAGUUUGCAUUUUUUUCUUGGUUUUAAGCUGGGUAAGUGUACUUCCUGUUGUUGCUUUGGUCAUGGCCUCGGGGCAUAGCAGUCUGUGGUAUCCUGUCAACUCGCCUCCCCCGUGCAAGGCCUGGGAGGGAGCCCAGCUCUACCUCUCAGUUAAAGCAGCUGCACCAUUUCCUAGGCAUUUGUUCAGCCCUCCUGGAAAUCAAUUUGCCACCUUUAACCCAGCAAACCCUCUUUUGGGAAUCUGUUUUACAGAAAUAAUCUAAACUUCAGAGUUAAAAAUUUACACAAAAAGGUUCAUGAUAUCAUUAUUCAUAAUAAAGGAAUUUUUAUAACAAUCCAAGUAGC